UACAGAGGUGGCAAGCGUUGUUCGGAAUUACUGGGCGUAAAGGGCGCGUAGGCGGUUCGAUAAGUCCCGUGUGAAAUCCCUCGGCUCAACUGAGGAACUGCACGGGAAACUGACGGGCUUGAGUUCGGGAGAGGGAAGCGGAAUUCCGGGUGUAGCGGUGAAAUGCGUAGAUAUCCGGAGGAACACCGGUGGCGAAGGCGGCUUCCUGGACCGGUACUGACGCUGAUGCGCGAAAGCGUGGGGAGCAAACGGG
rnacentral:rRNA from 1 species